rnacentral:rRNA from 1 species
GAUGAACGCUAGCUACAGGCUUAACACAUGCAAGUCGAGGGCCCGGCGCGCGGGUGAGUAACACGUAUCCCUCCUUCCCUUUACUCGAUGAUUGCCUUUCGAAAGAGCUAUUACUACCCGAUAGAAAGUAUGGGGGUGCGUUCCAUUCGUGUGUGGGUGAGGUAACGGCCAACCAAGCCUUCGAUGGAUAGGCGUGCUGAGAGGAAGGCCCACCAGAAUGGAACUGCGAUCCAGACCAAACUGGUACGGGAGGGAGGAGUGAGGAGUAUUGGUCAAUGGGGGCUAGCCUGAACAAGCCAAGUAGCGUGAAGAAGGAAGGCUUAUGGGUCGUAAACUUCUUGUAUAUAAGAAUAUGUAUUAUAUGAAUAAGGAUCGGCUAACUCCGUGCCAGCAGCCGCGGUAAUAC